UCUGUACAAUGAUUAUCUCUAAGUUUUUGGGUCUUUAUUGUCCUUAAGUAAAGGAAGAUUGACAAGAGGUAGAAUGAUUGGCUACCCGAUUGUCAGGCAUUGUUAAACCAACAGUUGUGAAAUGACAAAGCAGUCUACCAAGAAUGGUUUUCUUCAACUUUUGAUGAGAUAAUGGUUCUAAUGAAGUCUUGUGUUUUUAUAUCUAUGUAUUUCCUUGAAAUAAUUUGGUAGACCAUAUAUUAUAUAUUACUUUUUGGCACAUAAUAUUAUUCUACAAAGGCUCCAAAGCAGGGCAUGAAGAAAAUAUGUUUAUUAAAACAAUAAACUGGAAUCAAGUAUUCAAAAGAGAUGCCAUCCCUGUCACAGAAGGGAUCUAGAAGUUUGCUCCUAUGCUAGGUAUUAACUUUUAGAUGCUUGUGGUAGAGCAACAGAGUGAAAGGCAAUCUCACAGAGACCUCAUGGUAUCAGUAAGAUUCCCGGCAAGAAUAGUGACUGUCAUUCACACUGAGUAAUUCUGGUCUUAACUAAGAGGAGUAUUAAGAUGACUGUAAUUGUCUAACAUGAAGUUUGUCACAAGUUUUUAAUAAUGGGAUCGUGUGUGUGUGUGUGUGUGUGUGUGUGUGUAUGUGCAUGUAUGUGAGUGUAUAUAUGUGUCUGCAUGUGUAUUCAUGCCUGCAAUGGCUGGAGUUAACAAGUUUCCUUGUGAGUACUGGGAUUCUAACCCAGGCCUUCUGGAAAAGGAGCAAGAACUCUUAAUGGUCAAUCCAUCUCUUCCCUCAAGGCUCAAAGAUCUAUUUGGAAGAGGAAGUGGAAAUAUUGUAAGAUCCAAAAGUGAUGGAAGAUUCAAAGGAAACAGUAUCUCUCAGACAUAACAGGGCUGAUGCACAUAUGAACUCACAGAGAUUGUAGCAACCUGCAGAAGAUCUGCUCAGAUUCAAGCCGGAGAAAAUUCUAGCACCAAGAAGGAAAAGUAGGCACAAAGUCCUACCCCCUAACCAGGAAGCUAUAUGCAAUUGAUAGCUGUCAGGAGAGAAAAAAAAAUCAGUAGAGAUAUAUGGUACAUCAACCACACUCCAGGAUGGGCUUCCUGCUCAGGAGUGAUUGCCCAGCACCAACAUGGAUUCUAGUGUAUGUGUGUGCACGCACACGCGUGUGCAUGUGUGUUUGCAUGUGUGUGCGUGUGUGUGCAUGUGCUCACGUGUGGUCAUUGUUAUGGUUUGGUGAUUUUUUUUCUCUUUAGAACAUGAAGCUGGUUGGAUAGGAUCUGGGAGGACUUGAAAGAAGAGAAAGAACAAAUGAAUGAUCAAAAUGUAUUACAUAGGAAAAUUCAAAUAGUUAAAUGUAUAAUAAGAGGGGAACAUUCAAGAGAUGAGACUAUGCAUGCUGCUUUAUUUGUAUGCAGCUGAUUGACCCCACAAUGAUGUUUCCCCUAAGACAGAUAUACUCUAUCCAGAAGCCCAUGUGUAAACUCCAACUAGACCUAACAAUUUUUAGCAAUUCUUCCUUUUCAUAUGAUAUUAUUUUUAAAUGUUAUUUAAUUGUCAUUCUCUAUAUCCAUACUGAGCAUAUACAUUAUGUAUAUGUGUGUACAUGUGUGUGCAUGUGUAUGUAUACAUAUGUGUCCAUGUGUGUGCACUGUGUGUAGGGGGAUCUUCGUGCACUUGAGUAUGCAUACAUGUAGAGGUCACAGUCAACUCACAAUUAUAUAACUACUAAGUAGACCAGGUGGCUGUCACCUGAGCCCCAGGGGUCUUCCUGCUGUCAUCUCUACAGCACUAGAUUACAAGUCCAUUAUUACCACUGCUGGCUUCUUUUGUUAACACGUAUUUCAGGGAUUGAACAAAGGACCUUGUACUUGUACAGCACACAAGCUCUCUCUUUGUCCAGCUCGCUACAUUGUUAAUCACGCUUGCUCUUUUUUUCCUGGUAAAGCAGCUUCCAAGUAUCUACAAGUGGAAUACAACUGUACCAAGAAUGUUUACAGAAAGAACAUUAGCAUUGCAGGGUGGGAAACCUUACACUACAAAAGAGCAGUCUGGGUUAUGGACCGGACAUUGCCCCAACUGAUCUAUUCUUCUGAGAGAGCCACUUCAUUUCCAAAAAGCUCCUACUUCCUCUGCUUCUUACUAUUAGUAAACAAACGACCUGUCUCAACGUUCCAGUUCUUUAGAUGCUUUCUGUCACAGAGGCUUCGCUUUCGGGCAACAGAUGUUGGUUUGAGGGAAGCUGGAGAAAUGGCUCAGCAGUGAGGUAAGUGGACUGCUCUUGAACAUGACCUGACGUCAGUUCCCAGCACCCAAAUGAAGCUGCUCACAGCUAGCCAUGACUCCAGUUAUGGGAAAUCUGAUCCUCUCUCCAACCCUCUCUGUGUGUUUGUAAUCACACAGGCACAUGUCACACACACACACACACACACACACACACACACACAACACACACACGUGCAUGUAAAUGAAAAGACAAAUGUCAAAAAAUAAAUCUAAAAUUAAAAAGUGGAUUUAUGAUUUAGUCCACCAAAGGGUGUGAAAAAGCUCAAGGGAUCUAAAUUACUGCUUCCUUGAAAAUUAUUCCGUUUGGGUGAACUCAGAUGAAAUGAGGCAAAAGCUAGCUCUUGGAGAAGCAAUCCCUGGUGAGGCAAAACUGCUCAUCGGGAGACUUGAGCUUGAUAAAUCUUCUGACACCAUGGAAACCAGCCUUCCACAUAGCUGCAAUUGGCCCCAUCCCCAGGCAGAAAGACAUAACCAUGCUCCUGGCCUAUAUCCUGGGCCAUGAUACAUUUCAUUUUCCAGCCUCCUAGAACAGCUUUAUAUUAGCCUUCUCCAAGGGCAGAGAUGACACUACCCAAAAUUCAAGUUCAAGGCUAUGUUAGAUUUUCACAUUGCACCAAACAAUCAAGGGUUCUUUAAGGCUCUCCUAAGAUGACAGGCUGUCCGUAGGGGGUGUGAUAGCUCAUAUUCUGUCAAGCUGACAGGAUUCAGAAUCACCUGGAGACAUGCUUCUAGGUGUAUAUGUCAGGGUGUCUCUAGAGAUGUUUAAGUGGGAAUGUACGGUUCAUAAAUUUAAUGUGGGAGACACAAUACCAUGUGCUUAGGCCCCAGGAAGAAUAAAAAGAAGGAAGUAAGUUUAGGAGCCAGUCAGAUGGCUCUGUGGGUAUAGGUAAUUGCUCAAAGCAAUAACAGCCUGGGUCUUGAGAAUUCACAUGGUAGAAAGAGAGAACCAGUUUCUGCAGUUUGUCUUCUGAUCUCCACCUCCAUACACGCAAACAAAAUAUAUAACUAUUUAAAAUUAAAAGCAGAAAGCAAGGAAGAUGAGAGCCAGCAUUCACCUGUUUCAUUUUGUUUCAUUAGUAUUUUUUUCCUAUUUUAGCAGGGUCUUACUUUGUAGCUGUGGCUAUCCUGGAAUGUACUCUGUAGACUAGGUUGGCUCCAAACCCACAGAGGUUUGCCUCUGCCUUCUGAGCUGGGAUUAAAGGCAUGCAACACUAUGCUUGGCUUGUUUCACCUCUGUUUCUUAACUGUGGAUGCAAAACACCCUCCUGCCUUAUAUUCCUGCCCUAGUGACGUCUGUACCAUAAUAGACUGUACCCUUGAGUUGAGAGAUUAAAAUAAACCCUUCUUUCAUUAACAUGAUUCUUGUCAGAAGGUUGUUCAUAGCCGAGAGAAAAUCAACUAAAAUACAGUGAUAAUAACUCUCUUUUCUUGGGACUUUAAACACCAUGCAAUGGUGGUAUGUUAGAUAUGACAUAUCAUUUAAAUCCACAGUAAAAAUGAUAAUGUGCAACGUAAUACACACACACACAUAUGUUCAUAUAUGCAUGCAUGUGGGUACCUCAAAAUGACAUGAUGAAAAACCCUUAUUUAGUGUAAUUCAUUUAGCAUAAUAAAGAAAAAUAAAUCUAUCCUCUCUCCUCUCUCCUCUCUCCUCUCUCCUCUCUCUCUCUCUCUCUCUGUGUGUGUGUGUGUGUGUGUGUGUGUUAUGCUACUUCAGUCUCUCUAGAAAACCCUAAUACAGUAAAAACUUUGAACAAGAUUGUAUUUCAAACACUUCUAGUGAGGUUCUUGACAUCUCAGUAGUAUUUGUCAAAGAUCUGUGACGUUCUCAGAAGGAGUAAGAGACGUAGCCUAAGGAAUUCCCAGUGAGGAUGAUUUCUGAAUGAGGUGGAAUAUCGCAAGAAAAGGCACGACAAGAAGUGAUCAAGGAACAGGUUUCAAGGCGAUUCUAGAUGGUUUAGGUAGCAGUCAGUGCUUUGUAGAGCACUGGGUAAAAAGGCAGUUUCCAUGAGAUUAGCUACUCCUGUGUGGGAUGACCUCUCUAUCAGCAUUGUUCUGCUCAACCUCGACUCCGAGGUGACCACAGGUUCAGGAUAAUGACUGGAGACUUUUGGGCAUCUCUGAAUUCAAAAAUAAGAUAUUUUUUUUAAAAAAAAUAGCACAGGAAGACACCUCAUCAUUAGCCCAGAAACCUCCCUUCUAGGCUUACUGAACUUUUGUGAGAAAGGCCUUUAGCCUUAAAGGAGGAUGGGCGAGGCUAUGCAGACACUCUUGGACUGAUUAACACUCUGAGCUGUGGAAGUAAUCAGGUAGCUGACCCAGAGCAAAGAACAUGGAGAAUGAAGACAGAGGUGCCCGGCUUCAUUUUGUUGCUCGUGACCUUGUGGUUCCAAGUAAGAAAUCAAUGACUUUAAGUAAAAGCUGUUUCUAAAUGCCUGGAAGAACCCCUGGAGAUCUCAAAUUUUAGUCAAGCAAACCACAUACCUGGAGGAACUGAAGGAAAAUAAGACAGCUGUGUGAUUCAGUGUGUGUGUGUGUGUGUGUGUGUGUGUGUGUGUGUGUGUGUGUGUGUACCUAAACAUACAUGUGCAUGAGCAUAUAGAAGCUAGAGGAGGAUAUUAGGUCUUCAUUUAUCACUCUCCACCUUAUUUUUAAGACGUGUUCUCUCAAUGAAAUUGGAACUCAUUAUCCUCCUAUGCUGGCUGGGCAUUGAGCUCCUGGGAUUGGCCUAUCCCUACUCCCCAUCCCCCUAUUGCUGGAGUUUCAGUACUUUGUGGCUAUGUGUAGCUUCUUAUGUAAGAAGCUGAAAUUUGAAUUGAGGUUGCUAGGCUUAUGCAGCUCUUAAUACUUUAAUUGGAUGUUUUCCUACCUACCAAGAAGAUAGGUCAUGAGUAUUUGGUAAAAAAUGAAGCUUUAAUCUCCAGCAUAUGCUCAGACGAUUACCCAUUUAUUAUUAUUUACCCCACUCAUGCAUAACAACUAUGACAAAAUAGAGAAGCAUAAAAGAGUUCAUCAUUCAUGUCAACACAAAAACACAGUUCUCCCCUAAAGGGGGCCAAAAGAGAGUUUAUUCUGCAGCCAAGCACGAAUAACUAUGGCCAAGGCGUGCAUAUUUCAGUCACCCGAAAUUCCAUCUUCAAUGUGGUCAAGGUUUCAUCAUGUGUUUAUGCUGACAAAGUAAAGAAAGGCCUAAAGCAAGAUAUUUUUAAUGCACAUGGGUGGGGACAUAAAGUGGAUGGGUUCCAGAAUACCUGGGGAAUCUUCGCUAUAGGCCUCAGCUGCUCUGUGAUGGCACUCACUGACUCUUGGUUGGAGGAAGCUAUAUAUUCCAAGGCAUUUAUCCAGUUGUCAUGAACACGUUAGCUCAGAUAUAGAGGAACAUAGUAAGUGACUGCUAUUAAGCGUGAAGAUGUCCCAAGACAACCUGGUUCUAGGCUUGCAACAUGCCAAUCUCUACACAAUUACUGAAAUCCUGAUCAUCCUGUUCCAGGGAGGUGUAUUUCUUAUAGGAAUCGUGGGUUUUUCUAAGUUCUCUGUUUGCAUGAUCUCAUUACAUCCUUACAACCCUCCACAAUCAUUUCCCCCAUUUAACAGGUAAGGGAACUGAAGCUGGGGAAGGUUAAGUAAACAGGGUCCCACAAAACUGUAGUUUAAACUGUAGUUUAAAACCCAUGCUCUUCAUUACUUCUCCAGCUGCUGUCAUUCAGUGAAAAUAUCUGGCUGGAUAUGGGCAGGUGUGCAAUACAUAUGAGGCUGCACGUACUUUCACACAGCUGCACAUCAUGGUAGCUUAGGGCUAUGUCAUCAGUACUGGCCAAUGAAUUGUAAAGAGAGGCAAUAUAUGCCAUGCCUGGGUCAGGCAUUUAAUUGCUGAUACAAGACCUAGAUCCAGAACUUUCUUUUUCCUCAGGCACAAUGAUUAAGUAUUAUUGCAAAUGAUGAUGCUCAGUAAAACCUGGGGCUCCACAUGAGCAUGCUACCAUUGUCAUUUGACAAUCUAUGAUGGAUACAUAGCGUGUGUAAAGACUAGACAGCUGUGAUUUGGGCUCAUGGACUAGUAGAACUGUAACCAUCUCGGCACCAGUGAAGAUAUUCUCAUGAAAGAUACUUGCAUUUAUCCACAGGCUGUCAAACCAUCGAAACAAAAUGGCAGCCAGAGGCAGACUUGUCUCUAAGGAAGAGAAAAGACAUGAGACAAUGGUGGGUCAGUUAUGGUUGAGACCAUAUUGGUGUUCAAGACCACAGUGAUGAGUAGGUCCAUGUUGAUGUGUAGGACCACAGAGAUGAACAGGACCACAGUGGUGGGCUGGACCACAGAGAUGAACAGGACCAUGUUGAUGGGCAGGAUCACAGUAAGGAACAGGACCACAGUGAUAUGCAGGACCACAUCUUGAUCAGGACAUGCAUACCUCUUGCCUGAUACUUAAACCUAAGUUUUAUACCAGCCUCUCAAAUAUGAAGCCAAGGGGGACAUUACUAAGACUUUGUUUCUUUUUCCAAAGCAGGUCUUUGAAAUAACUCUUUUUCUCUGCCUUUCACUAUUGUCUCUUCGGGCAGACUACAGAGGUCAGGUGCCUUAGCGUAAGUGCCUGGCAGUGCAACCAGGGCUCUGACUCUGAAAUCACAACUCCAGCGAAAGCCUGGAUUGUAUAUGCUCGGCCCAGCAAGUAGCACUUGUUGGAGGUGUUGGCCUUGUUGAAAUAGGUGUUUUGCUGUGUGUGGGGGCUUCAAUAUCCUCAUGAUAGCUGCCCGGAAGCCAGUAUUCUGCUAGCAGCCUUCAGAUGAAGAUGUAGAACUCUCAGGCCCUCCUGCACCAUGCCUGCCUGGAUGCUGCCAUGUUCUCACCUUGAUGACAAUGGUCUGAACCUGUAAGCCAACCCCAGUUAAAUGGUGUCUAAGAGUUGCAUUGGUCAUGGUCUGUUCACAGCAGUAAAACCCUAACUAAGGCACUAAUUCAUUGCAUGCAAUAGAGAGUCAGAAGUCAGAGGACAGCCUCUAGGAAUCAGUUCUCUUCUAUAUCAAUCCUGGGGACUGAACUCAGGUCAUCAUGACUGACAACAGAUACAUUUGUCCCCAAACAAUCUACCAUCCUUCCUGUCAGAUUCUAACAGAAUGAGUCUGAUUAUUGCAAUCAAGUUUUCUUAAAAAUGUUCCAAUUGUGACCUCUAGACUCCUAAGAAACUUGUGUAGAACUCCGAGUAUAUAGAUUUAUAAAAUACAUAUAAAAAUUGUCCAUUGACUUAUCAUAACCGUAAAGAGUGUAUUUUAAAAUGAUUCUUUGACCUGUAUGUCAUUUUAUCAUUCACUAGAGAUCUUUAAAAACUGAUUUGCAUGUUCAUGACCUGUUGUGCUUUUUUUAUGGUUACAUGAAGAGUCAAACAUUGGCUAAUUGAUACCACAGGACUUGGAACAUCUUCAAAGUUUUUCAGAGCUGGUCCAUAUUUUGAUUUAUACUUUUUGAUGCUGAGAAAUCUAUUUCAUCUAAACAUGUUUGGGGCAACUUCAGAAACUGUUGGAAAUUCUGUCCCAACGCUAAAUCAAAUUCACUGAGUGAUUCUUUUAUGAAGUGGAAGUGGAAGGACUAAAAAAAGCACCAUCCCACAAUAACACCAUCUACUCUCUGGCCCUGGUGGUCCCAUUACUGCCCAUCUCACAGCUCUCUUGUGCAGAUUCUGCUCACAUUCCCAGCCAUCUGCCCCUCUGUGGUUAGCAGUCACAAACCCCUGUAACCCAGUAAAAUCAAAAUUCUAGAGGCUUGUAAUUUAUCCAUAAGAUUUAUAUCAGUAAAUUCUCACCCCACAAAACAUCUGCACAAUAAAUUGAGUCAGUUGAUAUUGAUAUAAACUGCCUACCUAGAUAAGACAAAUUGUUCUGUAAUUAUCCACCCCUUAUAAGAUAUUCAUAGCUACCUGUGGCAAUUUAAGCCACACAGAAUCUGUAUUGUAUUUCUUUUCCUCCAUCUUCCUUCCUUCCUUCCCCCCUCCUAUCUCUUCCACCUCUUAAAAACUUUCUGCCCACCCUCCUUUUCUACUGUCCAAUCACAGGCUCUAGCCUUAUCUUUCACCUGCCCACAUCUGCUUACAGAUAGCAAUCUAUAGAAGUUCAUGUCAAUAACUUUUUUUCUGUAUGCCUUCUCUCAUUAAUGUGGGCAUGUUUGCCUCUACGUUAAAAGAGCAUAGUUGUUGGGGGGAAGGGGAGACUACAGUUCUCUGUUUCCACCAUGUUGGUCCCAAGGAUCAAACUCAGAUUAUCAGGCUUGGUGGCCAGUCCCUUACUUUAUGGUCUAGUCCUCUCACUGGCCAUAGCAGCAAUUUUGACAUCAAACAUUCAAACACUAUUUGAUACAUCCCUGCUGAGGAAUCAAAGUUGAAAAAUAUUAAUAUAUUUGCUUUCUGGAAUCAACUAUUUUGUUUCUAUAAGAAAAAUGUACAUGUAUAAUAAUUUAUAAUAUACGUCUUGAAUCUCAGACAA